GUUUGUUUUAACCCCAUCAGAGGAAGCAGUAUUGUAAACAAGUAAAUAUGUUUGAUUGAAUAGAUAGAGAUAGGUACUUAAAACUCGUGUUUGAUCCGGGGGGUGUUUUGCGAUAGGUCACCCCUCCCCUAAGGCCGGAUGGUUUUCAAAUCAAGAUUAUGACACCCUCCUUUGUGUUAGGAGCAUCUCUCAGUCUGAUCGUUAGUCAAUGGGGGUGCUAUCUAUAACGUCACACACGCGCAUCCUGACCAAACGCGCGUGAGAAGAAAAGUUGAUCCGGGGGGGGUGUUUUGCGAUAGCUUACCCCUCCUCUAAGGCCGGAUGGUUUUCAAAUCAAGAUUAUGACACCCUCCUUUGUGUUAGGAGCAUCUCUCAGUCUGAUCGUUAGUCAAUGGGGGGUGCUAUCUAUAACGUCACACACGCGCAUCCUGAGCGGAAACGUGCACCUGAGCGGAAACACGCGUGAGAAAAAAGGAGCAAACGCCUGAGCGGACACGCCCACACGUGUAGGUAAAAAGUGAGAAUUUUCCGAAAAUUUGGCUAUGACUUCGCGUCUUUGGAUUUUUCACAACGGAACAGAACAUCUACGAUCUUCUAAGCAUUGAGAGCACGGCCUUUUCAAUAGAACAAGGCCAGCCUAUCUGACGCAAUUGUCUGUGAAAACGUAUCAAACAAACGCGACCCUUCCAGGACAGUUGUAUUGAGAUUAUUUGCCGGCGACGAGUCUUCUACAACGCACGUGCUAGGCCUAAGAACGGGGGAACAUCCGGGGUCAAACAAUCGCGGCCCUUCCAGGACAGUUGUAUUGAGAUUAUUUCCCGCGACGAGCCUUCUACAACGCACGUGCUAG